GAUGGAGGACGGAAGUAUCAACAAUGGGUUUCCCGAGCAUCACAUGAAUUGAUUGAUAUGUUUCUACCGAUAUGCAUCAUUUAAUUCAUUAAUAAUUAUGCAAAGUUCGUCUUCUCCAUGAUGUAACACACUAAUCUAAUGAUACUAUGUUGAAAUUAUACUACUAAAAUGGUGAAGAUAGCUGUGAUAGGCGCUGGGUUGCUUGGGAUAAAAAUCGCAGGUGAGCUGGCAUACCAUGGCCAUCGUGUUAGGAUCCACGACUCUAACAUAAAGAAUCUUAACAGUGUAUUCCAGCGAAUGGAGGAGGAUAAAAAGAACCUGAGAGAGGAGGGAGUAUUGCUUCAUAAAAACUUCAUUGGCCAGGUCCUAUGUAUGAGCCGGCUAGAGGAGACAGUCUGUGAUGCUGACGUUAUAAUUGAAUGUGUUCUUGAGGACCUUGAGGUGAAGAAAGAUCUCUUUGAAAGAAUUUCUCACCUGUGUAAGCCAGAGGCAGUCCUGUGCAGCAAUACACUGCGGUUGAAGAUGGAUGAUAUUGUUCAAAGGACAAACAAUAAAGAGAGGACGAUGGGUCUGCGUUUCUUGUUCCCCGUGUACUGUAUACCGGAGGUAGAAAUCACACCCAGCUCAUUCUCCUCACAGAAAGCCAUUCAGAAAGUACGGAUCAUGCUGGAGAGGAUGGGGAAGACUUUGUUCUUCAGGUCUGGUGGGGAGCCCCUCAUUUUGUCGGAGGAACAGCGAGAGGAGCGUAAGAAAGCUCGUCUGGAACAGAUCAAGAGCUCGUCGGGAGUGGGCCACCUGUUUGAGAGUAUGAUUCCUGCCUUAUCGCACCAGGGCAAUGUCCCGCAGGACGAGGAGAAGAAAAAGGGCAUGGAAGAGGAUCGGGACCCGGACUGUGCCAUCUGUAUGGACCGAAUGCGAGACUGCCUCCUCUGUCCCUGCCACCAUAUGAUCACGUGUUACGAAUGUUCAAAGAUGCUCCAUAAUCGGCGGGAUGGGUGUCCAGUAUGUCGGAAGGACAUUACAGAACUUAUCCGGGUCUAUCACUCAUAACUACUGAACUCUUGUGAGAAUUUUUACAAAAUUCUUUGAGGAUGUUAACAACAGAAGGGGACAUCAUCCAAGUGAAAUGACCACUGACCAUCGAAGGGGCGUCAGCAUGGUUCCUGAUACAGAACUCUUUUGGAGGAUGCCCCACUACCUUUUUGAUAAAGGGAGGACAAACACUAAGAAAUGAAGUUUGGAAAAGAUGUGAUUUAUCUGUACCUUCUAAAUUUACCUCUGUUACAAUAUUGUGUACAGUCGUGUUCAUAGGAUUAUUGUAGUGUUUGUUUUACUACUGUUUUAAUACAGUAAAGAAAUAAUUUAUUGUUGAGUGAACAAAGACAAUUCAGAAGAUGAUACUAAAUUGUACUGAUGCAGGAUCAAAAUGAGGAAUGAUAUGUACUUAAAUAUGUAGGUAGCAGUAAAGGGAUGAUUUCAAUGUACAGCUGUACUUAAAUAUGUAGGUAGCAGUAAAGGGAUGAUUUCAAUGUACAGCUGUACUUAAAGAUAACAGGCAAUUUUAAUGUAUAUAGGAAUUAACUUAUGUUUUAGCAUUACUUCAUGGGGAAAUUCUUGCGAUAUAUAAGUAAUUGUCUAUAUAUUCUCACAGAUACAUGUAUAUGACGUUCAGGGCAAUGAAAUAAAGAGACAUGCAUAAUAAUUUUUACAAAAAAAAAAACAAUAGAAAAAUUAUGCCAUUUACUUUAUGGUUUGGUCAUAAAUUUCAAAUUGUGGUUGUGACAUGGGAAUCACAAAGCAUCGUAUUUGUUGUUAAUAGCAGACACUCGCAGUAUGUGGGAGUUACCCCCCUUUACACACGCUUCUAUAUGCACUGUGUGUGUGUUUAUAUUUACUGCCUAGGAUCCAAAUCAUAGCAGAGCACUUAACUAAUAGAAUUCUUUAUAUUGUUUUAAUGUGACAAGUAUGUAUAUUAGGCUAGCUGUUUACUUGUUUCAGCAGCAUCUAGUCUGUAGAUGUAAAUAAUAAUCUGGUGUUGUAUUAACUUGUAUACAUAUUGAUUAAGAACAAAUUUCCAGAAUAAUAGGUAUUUCAGGUAAAUGAAGAAAGUAACCGACACACAUUUACCAGCUUUUACUUUACAGGGUGUACCCAUUCAACCCUGCAGACUUCCUCCUGCUGAAUUAUGAUAAAAAGUGCAUCCUAACACUUUGAUGUGUAUAGAAUAAAAACAUAAACAAAGGCUGUACUGACAUGCCCAUGUAACAAGAUAUAACAGCACUCCCAAGAUUUUACAUUGUGUCUUUGUCACUGUUUUCAGCCAACCAUGAAUUAUUUAAAACAAAACAAAAACUUGUUCAAAGUUACUUUUUUUGUUUCCAUGGCUUCACUGUGAUGUGUGUAGAUAUGGAUGAAUGAUCACAGUUAAUAGAUCUAGAUGUGAAACUUCAGAUAAUCACCUGUAGCCAUCUACAAGACAAUAUCACUUAAAAUUUUAAAAAAAACUGUGGAUAUUAAAUGGAGGGAAUUUAACAUCUGUGAAUAGCUGAAUUGUCUGGUCCAUCAGGCAGCUGUCGUGUCUAGUCCAUCAGCUAGCAUUUGUGACCAUGCUGAAAAGUUGAUGAUUAUCCACAUGCUAAAGUUAGCAUAGUGAAGUGGGACGUGUAUACGAGGAUGGCUGUUUGGCGUGAAUCAAAGCCUGGUGAUCGGUUAUACCAGUCGCUGUUAACAAUACCUUACCAGUGUUUCAUUGUCUUAUGUAGAAGUAAGUUUGCUUGACUUCAACAUUUCUGUAUUGUCAUCUUUCAAUUUCUUAAUCAUGUGCAGACAGAUGAUCUUCACAAUAUUCUAACCCGAUUGUUAUAUUUGUAAAAACAAAUUAGCUGGUCUAUCACAUUGUGUUACAUAUAUUUCAGGCAUUAAUUCCUGUGAUGGGAAGUAAAUAAGUGAUUAUCAUCGGGAAAUCAAAUACCUAAAAAUUGGUUUUAUUUGGAGUUUUACUGUUUCUGAAAUUAUUAUGCAUCAUGAAAUAUUGUCCGUUAUAUCUUACUGUUAAGAAUAAGCUAACAAUUAGGUUUCAGUAAACUGAUGUCAGACAUCUUAGAAUUUAAUUAAAGAUAAUGACAAAGUGUUUAUUGAUACUACUAGCUACAUUUAAGGUGUUGUCUAUUUAGAUAUUAAAAUUUGUUUUGUGUUUUGUUUUUAAUGAAUAAAAUCAUUUUGACUUGCUAUCCUUUCAUUAGAGAUUGAUGAUCACGCCAAGGCUUGCACUUUACACAUUAUAUCUGCGAGUUGUACCGUAGUUAUAUUCAAAUACUUUAAUAAGUAACUACCCUACACAUUAUACAGACUGCGACUUGUGUUGGAGCUACCUUCAUGAUCUGAUUUAGAAUUAAUGGAAAUACUGUUAAUACAAACCUAUCGGUUAAGAUUCAUUAGAUAACAGACAAAUGUGUUUAGUGUUGAAUUCGUUUAGAACUGAAGAAACAAGAUACAUGUUUCAGUAGGGUAGUUUAAAAACUUCAUGAUAGGUAUCGUAUAUUUCCUUUGAAAUGAUAACACGUGGACUAAGAUGUAUCUGUGAUAUUUGUUAACUAUUUGUAGCGGCAUUGUCACUUUUUGUGUCAUUUCUAUAACUAUUUAAGUUGUUAUCGAAAAAUAAACAUUUAUU
rnacentral:misc_RNA from 1 species